rnacentral:rRNA from 1 species
UACAGAGGUCUCAAGCGUUGUUCGGAUUCAUUGGGCGUAAAGGGCGCGUAGGCGGUCGUGACAAGUCACUUGUGAAAUCUCCGGGCUUAACUCGGAACGGUCAAGUGAUACUGUCGGACUAGAGUGCAGAAGGGGCAACUGGAAUUCUCGGUGUAGCGGUGAAAUGCGUAGAUAUCGAGAGGAACACCUGCGGCGAAGGCGGGUUGCUGGGCUGACACUGACGCUGAGGCGCGAAAGCCAGGGGAGCGAACGGG